AAAUGGACUCUCAGCAAMCGGAUAUCUUGGCUCUUGCAACGA
rnacentral:rRNA from 1 species